rnacentral:rRNA from 1 species
AAACAUCUAAGUACCCCGAGGAAAAGAAAUCAACCGAGAUUCCCCCAGUAGCGGCGAGCGAACGGGGAGCAGCCCAGAGCCUGAAUCAGUGUGUGUGUUAGUGGAAGCGUCUGGAAAGGCGCGCGAUACAGGGUGACAGCCCCGUACACAAAAAUGCACAUACUGUGAGCUCGAUGAGUAGGGCGGGACACGUGGUAUCCUGUCUGAAUAUGGGGGGACCAUCCUCCAAGGCUAAAUACUCCUGACUGACCGAUAGUGAACCAGUACCGUGAGGGAAAGGCGAAAAGAACCCCGGCGAGGGGAGUGAAAAAGAACCUGAAACCGUGUACGUACAAGCAGUGGGAGCCUCUUUAUGGGGUGACUGCGUACCUUUUGUAUAAUGGGUCAGCGACUUAUAUUCUGUAGCAAGGUUAACCGAAUAGGGGAGCCGAAGGGAAACCGAGUCUUAACUGGGCGUUAAGUUGCAGGGUAUAGACCCGAAACCCGGUGAUCUAGCCAUGGGCAGGUUGAAGGUUGGGUAACACUAACUGGAGGACCGAACCGACUAAUGUUGAAAAAUUAGCGGAUG